UCACCAGCACCAUCCCAGGAUGGUUUGGGGGGGAAGGGACCUUAAAGCCCGUCCAGUUCCUCCCCGGCAGACAGGCACACCUUCCACCAGGCCAGGCUGCCCCACACCCCCUCCAACCCAGCCUUGAGUUCUUCCAGGGAUGGAGCAGCCACCGCUUCUCUGGGUAACCUGUGCCAGGGCCUCACCACCCUGACAGGGAAGAAUUUCUCCCCAGUACCCCACUAAACGCUGUCCCCAGUCAGUUAUCACACAAGCAUUUGUGAAUUGUCUCCAUUCCAGCACCUUUGACUGCCCAGACACCCCAGGUGCAGCCUCCUCCGCCGCGGCACCCUCUCAGUCAGGGAUUCCAGGAUUUAUCCCUGAUGAAGGAAGGGACAUCAUCCCGCAUCCCUCCUCACCCUCAGUGAUGCAGCCUGCACCAGUCGAGGUGGCUUUGCCCUGACAGGAAACAUAAUAUGGAGGAGAAAAUCCUCUUGAUCUCAUGCCAGGAAAGGUCAGUGCCACAGCAGCAAGGGACCUGAGGAGAGUCUGCAGGUGACUUUGGCCACUCCUGGGGAUUCACAGCUCCAGAAUCACUGAGGACAGAAAACUCUCGGAGAUGCCCAAGCCCACUACCCUCAGCACGGCCAUGGCCACCACUGCCCAUGUCCCCAGGUGGCACAGCCACAGGAAUUUAAACCUGGGAGUGACUGGAGCCAUACUGGGGGUGACUGGUAGCAACUGGAACUACACUGGGGACAAAUGGUAGCAUAGUGGGGCUAACUGGGUAAAUUAGAAUUACGCUAGGAGCAACUGAAACCAUACUGGCAGCAACGGAGAUCGUAUUUGGAGCAGCUGGGCCCAUGCUGGGGAGAACUGACCCCACUGGGACUGUCUGGAAACACACUGCGGUUACUGGAAUAGU